UGAAAACAGGAUCUUCAUCCCCCUCCUUCUCCUUUGACUUGUUCAAGGCACAAGAACCAAGAAAAAUUCAACACCUUCCUCCAUCUCCUCCCUUCUUCUUCGUCUGAAUUUAACACUCAAACCAAGAUUUUGCAACACCUUCCUUCAUCUCCCUCCUUCUCCUUCGUCUGGUUCAAAGCACUCAAACAAAGAAUUUCAACACAACUCACUCAACCACCAUUACGUUUUCUGCCCAAACCUCUUUUAUAAAUACUGAACUCUCUCAGCAAAUUACUCAAGUAAAACAAUUCAAAAGACUCCGAUUUCGUAGACGAGUAUUACCAGGAGUGCUUAACUUUUGGGCACGUGGCACGAGAUCUGGAAAUAUCUCGAAGUCGUCUCCCUCGAGUCAUUGGAAAACUCGGCCUUAAUCUUUUCAGAUGGAAUAAGAAUUGUACGCGGAUAUAUAGUUACUCAUAACAUUAUUUACAGAUGGAAUUGUUCUAGAUUCAAUUUUAGUUUAACACUUCAUUGUAUCUAUAUUAUUAUAGUGGUUUGUAAUACAUAUAUGACAUUAUUAAUGCAGAAAUACAUUUUUUUGUAUCUAUAUUAUUAGGCAA